rnacentral:lncRNA from 1 species
CGACAAUGACCAGGAUUGCCAGUUGGAGAUAAAAUACAGAAUGUGGUGAAGUGUAUGAAGGCACCCAUCUCCAUGCUUUGUGAUACCUUGCCGUGCUCCACCUAAUACCCAGGAAAUGGCAAUUAGCUGACCUUUAUAACUAAAAUUAAUAUGGGAUGAGAAUACACAGUACACUGUGGGACUCAUUAUUUGUCUUCCAGAUGCAGGGGGUGAGGAAAAUAUGGGAGUUACUGUUUACCUUACAGUACUCGUAUUCUGAUGGCCACAGUCCAGGCCCUGACUAAUGGUUUUGAAAUGCUGAGGACAGAAGUUAAACAGGCAUCUACAUCCCAGACCCCACUAGGGAACCUCUGAUUAGUGUGUGGAGGGUGAGAAGCAAGGGAAGCGCUGGAACUUGAAGCCCAGCCAAGAGCAUAAAACCCACAGGGCUUGUGGCUAUUGCAGGUAAUAACAAAGGGACAGUGUCCAUAGGAGGGUAAGAGAGACGGUUCAGGGAAGGGCAAGUCAAGCAGGCAGAAGGCUGAGGAGUCAGAUGGUCUGUGCUGCAGGUUUCAGCCAUGGCUUAGGGAAGGCACAGUGGCUGAGCAAUGGAUCUGCAGUGAGAGGUGCCCACAGGGGUGUCUCAGUCCCCGCUGCGCAGGACCGUGCACAGGAACGAUGGCCGGGGCAAAUGGAAGCUCUGGAGAGCCGUGAGUGCCUGUUGAGAAAGCUAAUGGCAAAACUAAGACUGCCAGUUGGACUGAAGUUCAGCUUCUCUGGGAAUAGCUCCAAGACCACCGACCACCAGGUGUGCAGAGCCCUCUACCAUCUCCAGGACAAGGUGGAGUCCCGUGGUCAUGGCUGGACUCGGACAAGGGUGCUUCAGAUGGAAAUAUUCAGAUGCAGAACCAGCAAUUCUACCUCCCUGGGAGAAGACACUGAGGAACUGCCAUCAACUUGCAUGUGUUUGCAGCGUGUCUUCCAGGAUACCCACAGCUUGAUUCACAUUCUCACUGGAAAGGGGGAACAGCUUCCCAGAGCCUGUGACAGGAUCACCUUUAUGCCGAGAAAGGUGACCUGUGACACAAGGACACUUGACAACACUACUGAAGUGAUGCACCUCAGCUGCUGCAACUGGCCUCUGUCAUCAAAUAGGAUUUUCUGCCUACUGGAUCAUUGCUAA